rnacentral:misc_RNA from 1 species
AACUUUCGGCAACGGGUCACUUGGUUCUGGCAUCGAUGAAGAACGCAGCGAAAUGCGAUAAGUAAUGUGAAUUGCAGAAUUCAGUGAAUCAUCGAAUCUUUGAACGCACAUUGCGCCCCUUGGUAUUCCGAGGGGCAUGCCUGUUCGAGCGUCAUUUCAACCCUCAAGCACAGCUUGGUCUUGGGCUUCGCCGCUAACCCGGCGGGUCUUAAAAUCAGUGGCGGUGCCGUCGGGCCCUGAGCGCAGUAAUCUCUCUCGCUAUAGGGUCCCGGCGGAUGCUGGCCAGUAACCCCCAAUUUUCUAUGGUUGACCUCGGAUCAGGUAGGGAUACCCGCUGAACUUAAGCAUAUCAAUAAGCGGAGGCU